GGCCCCGUGGCGCAACGGUUAACGCAUCUAACUUCGGAUCAGAAGACUCCAGGUUCGAAUCCUGGCAGGGUCG